GUCAAGUGUGGGCACCCCAAACUGUCAACAACAUCCUAACGAUUGAAUGGUUGCAGUUGACGUGCAUCAAAAUGUAUUCUUUCGCUGCCGUACAAAACAUCUAUCUCGUAUAAGAAACGAUUGGCUACCAUCGGAAUCCUCCCUCUAUGUUACUGGCAUGAGUAUUUAGAUAUGGUGUAUCUUCACAAAUGCCUUAUAAAUAACUCUGACAGUAACAUAUCUAUAAAGAUCCCUACACGAGAAACAUGGAAUGCUAGUUCAACCAACGGCAUCCUACUUCAUGUAACCAAAAGUAAAACUGUUUCUUUUCAAAACAGCUUUUACAUCAGAGCUGCUAAUGUGUGGAACACGCUUCCAGGCUUCAUAAGAAAUACCACCACAUCUCUAACUACAUUUAAAUGUAAUCUAAUGAAAUAUUACGUAGAAUUAACCCAACAAAUUUAUGAUCCUGAAGAUCCAAGAACAUUUAAGUCUGUUUGUAUUAAAUGUCACACCUCUCGCCCACUAAUGAACUUAUGAACUCGAACAUGUUGCUAAAAGACCACCCCUAAAAGUAACCCUUCUAAACACUAUAAGCACUUCAGAAAGGCUGUCGCUUUUCCUUUUCGGAAGUUAGAGCUAUGUCGACACUGCCGUUUCAGGGCGGGGUCAUUUUCAGGACUUUCGUCCCGGAUUCAGGUUUUGGCACAUGUGCCAUGUUGACCGCCAUGGUCAUUUUACCAUAG